rnacentral:rRNA from 1 species
GAAACGCUGGCGGCGUGCCUAAUACAUGCAAGUCGAACGAGAGCGACCGGUGCUUGCACUGGUCAAUCUAGUGGCCGAACGGGUGAGUAACACGUGGGUAACCUGCCCAUCAGAGGGGGAUAACAUUCGGAAACGGAUGCUAAAACCGCAUAGGUUCUUUAGUCGCAUGACUGGAGAAGGAAAAGAGGCUUCGGCUUCUGCUGAUGGAUGGAUCCGCGGUGCAUUAGCUAGUUGGUGAGGUAACGGCUCACCAAGGCCGUGAUGCAUAGCCGACCUGAGAGGGUGAUCGGCCACAUUGGGACUGAGACACGGCCCAAACUCCUACGGGAGGCAGCAGUAGGGAAUCUUCCGCAAUGGGCGCAAGUCUGACGGAGCAACGCCGCGUGAGUGAAGAAGGAUUUCGGUUCGUAAAACUCUGUUGUUAGAGAAGAACAGCGCAUAGAGUAACUGUUAUGCGUGUGACGGUAUCUAACCAGAAAGCCACGGCUAACUACGUGCCAGCAGCCGCGGUAAUACGUAGGUGGCAAGCGUUGUCCGGAUUUAUUGGGCGUAAAGCGAGCGCAGGCGGUCAAUUAAGUCUGAUGUGAAAGCCCCCGGCUCAACCGGGGAGGGUCAUUGGAAACUGGUUGACUUGAGUGCAGAAGAGGAGAGUGGAAUUCCAUGUGUAGCGGUGAAAUGCGUAGAUAUAUGGAGGAACACCAGUGGCGAAGGCGACUCUCUGGUCUGUAACUGACGCUGAGGCUCGAAAGCGUGGGUAGCAAACAGGAUUAGAUACCCUGGUAGUCCACGCCGUAAACGAUGAGUGCUAAGUGUUGGAGGGUUUCCGCCCUUCAGUGCUGCAGUUAACGCAUUAGAGCACUCCGCCUGGGGAGUACGACCGCAAGGUG